AGUGGCGCACGGGUGAGUAAUACAUCGGAACGUGUCCUGUAGUGGGGGAUAGCCCGGCGAAAGCCGGAUUAAUACCGCAUACGACCUAAGGGAGAAAGCGGGGGAUCUUCGGACCUCGCGCUAUAGGGGCGGCCGAUGGCAGAUUAGCUAGUUGGUGGGGUAAAGGCCUACCAAGGCGACGAUCUGUAGCUGGUCUGAGAGGACGAUCAGCCACACUGGGACUGAGACGCGGCCCAGACUCCUACGGGAGGCAGCAGUGGGGAAUUUUGGACAAUGGGGGCAACCCUGAUCCAGCAAUGCCGCGUGUGUGAAGAAGGCCUUCGGGUUGUAAAGCACUUUUGUCCGGAAAGAAAGCCUCGUGGCUAAUAUCCGUGAGGGAUGACGGUACCGGAAGAAUAAGCGCCGGCUAACUACGUGCCAGCAGCCGCGGUAAUACGUAGGGUGCGAGCGUUAAUCGGAAUUACUGGGCGUAAAGCGUGCGCAGGCGGUCUGUUAAGACCGAUGUGAAAUCCCCGGGCUUAACCUGGGAACUGCAUUGGUGACUGGCAGGCUUUGAGUGUGGCAGAGGGAGGUAGAAUUCCACGUGUAGCAGUGAAAUGCGUAGAGAUGUGGAGGAAUACCGAUGGCGAAGGCAGUCUCCUGGGCCAACACUGACGCUCAUGCACGAAAGCGUGGGGAGCAAACAGGAUUAGAUACCCUGGUAGUCCACGCCCUAAACGAUGUCAACUAGUUGUUGGGGAUUCGUUUCCUUAGUAACGUAGCUAACGCGUGAAGUUGACCGCCUGGGGAGUACGGUCGCAAGAUUAAAACUCAAAGGAAUUGACGGGGACCCGCACAAGCGGUGGAUGAUGUGGAUUAAUUCGAUGCAACGCGAAAAACCUUACCUACCCUUGACAUGGUCGGAACCCUGCUGAAAGGUGGGGGUACUCGAAAGAGAACCGGUGCACAGGUGCUGCAUGGCUGUCGUCAGCUCGUGUCGUGAGAUGUUGGGUUAAGUCCCGCAACGAGCGCAACCCUUGUCCUUAGUUGCUACGCAAGAGCACUCUAAGGAGACUGCCGGUGACAAACCGGAGGAGGGUGGGGAUGACGUCAAGUCCUCAUGGCCCUUAUGGGUAGGGCUUCACA
rnacentral:rRNA from 1 species